CGGGCGGCAACGUAUGUGGAGUCGCCGUUAACGGCGGGCGAAAUGAAUGCAUCCCCAUCUACCAGCUUCAGCCCCUGUUUUCAGCGAAAGGGGAUCGAGCCGAGUAAAAAUUAGAGCCGGAGGGCGGCGUCGGUGGCGGCUACGUCGGCGACAUUCUCGCACACCGAUUCCCUGCUCGCGUCGUCGGACGUGGUCUCCGAUUAGUGGUGGCGCGGACGUGGCGAUGGAUUUUCCCGUAGCUCCGAUGGACAGGUUGCCCAUAUUCCCGGAUGAGGCAUCUAGCGCGGAGGCCCUAAUUGAAUUGAUUGAUGGGGCUGGUCGUGCGAAAAGGAAUUAGCCAACGGAUCUCGCCGGGCGGUGGUCGGAGGAUUUGGGCGCAGCUCAGCUGGGCAGUUCGGGGGUGGUGCCAUGUGCGGCGAGGAAACAAGUGUGGCUGCCGGCAGCUCUGCCGUGUAAACGCAGAUGCCGUUGACCAGGGCGGCGUUGAAACACAUUUUGAUUGAGAUCAGGGCGCUGUGAUUUAAGAUCGAACAGGAAGUGGCGAUGGAGGCUCUGCGCAAUCGACUGGCAAGGUGGAUCCCCAAGCCUCUGGAUGGACUAAGAGGUAAUUGGAAUUUUGUGUAGAACUGCAUUCUGUAUCUUGCAACCGUAGUUGGAAUGAUGCCCUGUUUAUUUUACACCCUCCGUUCCUAAAUAUUUGUCUUUAUAGAGAUUUUAACAAGUGACUACAUACGGAACAAAAUAAAUGAAUCUACAUUCUAAAAUAUGUCUAUAUACAUCUGUAUAUGGUAGUCCAUUUGAAUCACUAAAAAGACAAAUGUUUAGGAAUGGAGGAAGUAGUUUGUUAUGCUGGCGAGUGAAUUGUCAGUUUGAUAAAAUCAUUAUUUGGGGACUUCUUGCUGACGGCGGAGAGAGCUGCGGCCCUGAGGCCUUCUGUUGGUGGCCGGGCAUCGAGCAUGACCAAGCUAGCAAUGUUGCCAAGAGAAAGAAGAUGGCUACAUCCAUUAGCUGGUCAAGCUCCGGUGUCCUCACGUCAGGCUUGGCUUUGAGUGCUGACAGCAAAGCAUUCUACAUGGUAUGCACCCAGGUCCGCUUCAUCUGCUGGGAUAUAUCUAGGUUUGGACCUAUUGCAAAUUGCUGAUCUUCAAUAUGCUGCAUUAAUACCGGGAGGGAUCAGUUGAUGGUGUCUUCAGCCAAAUUGCUGAUCUAUCCGAUGACAACGGGGAAGCUGCAGCCGACUCCAGAGAGGACGAUGACCACAACAUAGAGCCAUAGAGGUUGUGGCAGAGCUUGAUCCCAAUGCCAACCAUCUGCUUGGCGAGGCGGAGCAGCCUGUUCUGUAAGAAUAUGACGAGUUUGUGAUGGUUUGGAAAACUGACGAAGAUUCAGAGGGUAAAGAAGAAGUGGCAAGCCACGAGCGUCCUCGCCUGUGCUAGACGCUAAAUCGAGUCAAUGGACCAGUUGACUAGAACUAGAAAUUAAGUGCGUGUAUUUUGUGUUUACGCCUCCGUGUAUUUUGCUGGAAUCUUAGUGUGUGUCCAUUGCUGGGAGGAACUGUCUCUAAAUUAGUUGUUAUUUUUUUUGAGAAGAGAUUAGUUGUUAUUAUUGUAGAGUAGUAGCCGACGUGAGUGUGGACUAAUGUUUAAUUAUAUGAGAUUACCCCAAAA